UCUUAGUGGCGGACGGGUGAGUAACGCGUGGGUAACCUGCCUUAUACAGGGGGAUAACACUUAGAAAUAGGUGCUAAUACCGCAUAAGCGCACGGGGCUGCAUGGCCCAGUGUGAAAAACUCCGGUGGUAUAAGAUGGACCCGCGUCUGAUUAGCUUGUUGGCGGGGUAACGGCCCACCAAGGCGACGAUCAGUAGCCGGCCUGAGAGGGUGGACCGGCCACAUUGGGACUGAGACACGGCCCAAACUCCUACGGGAGGCAGCAG
rnacentral:rRNA from 1 species